rnacentral:lncRNA from 1 species
CCAGCCGUCCCCGUGCCCCCCAAACCAUCACCACCAGCCGGAUCCGGCCCCAUGGCGUCGGGGGCUUUCCUAUCGGGGUCCCCGGAGCCGCCCCGAGCCCCCCGCCGCCCCGAGCCCCCCGCCGUGCCUCACCCUCGCGGCAGGACGGCCGUACAUGGCUGCAGCUCCGCGGCAAGAGGCAGAGCCAGGCCCGCGGGCAGCGGCGAGCCCGGCCCCGGCGCCUGAUUAUUUUUCCUUCCUGAAAUAGCUCAGCGCCGUCCCUCCCCUCCGCCGCCUCGCCGCUCUCGACGGCCGCGGCCCGACCCGCGCCCGGCUUCCCCAAACCCCGAGUGGCCCCCUCCGGCCGACCCCCGGGUGCCGCACGGGGACCCCUCGGGGUCCCCUCUUUCAGAUUUUCCCCUUAACGGUGGCACCGACGUCCUGCGGAGCCCCCCCUCCUGUCCCCGUGGUGUCCCGAGGGACCCCUGUCCCCCUGUGGCCACAGCAGCGGCUCCGUCGCCGCCACCUGAUUUUGUCCCCCCCCUCGGCCACCAGCACCCCCCUGCUGCAGUGACCCAGGGGGACACCCCGCAGCGCCCACUGCCACCAGCCCCAGCACGGGGGGGGGGCUGGGACAAAGCCCCCUGCGUUUCCCUUUGUCCCCGUGGGGGCACGCAGGAGGCGGAGGGGCUCUGCCCGCUCCCAAACGCAACCCCGACACCUGCGAUGUCCCCGCUGUCCCCCUGGGGGUGGCUCUGCCUCGCACCCCCGAUGCAUCCCCAUCACCCUGGGUCAUGCAAGUGGCUGGUGGGGAUGUCACCCCCCCAGGCAGGGACGUGUCAUCCCCCCAGGCAGGGACGUGUCACCCCCCCAGGCAGGGACGUGCCCCCAAAGGCAGUGGGACUGGUGCAAAAGCACCGUCAAACCCCUUCCCUUUGCCGAGCCUCACCUUCCCCUUCUGGGAAAGCCAGGGCUUCCCAUCCACCUGCUGGGAAAGUCCCUUAGGAGCAGGCUGGGGGGGUGUAAGGGCACCGGCAGCCC